UUUCCCUCAGGAUAGCUGGCACUCGCUCGAGCGAGUCUCAUCUGGUAAAGCGAAUGAUUAGAGGCCUUGGGGCCGAAACGACCUCAACCUAUUCUCAAACUUUAAAUGGGUGAGAUCUCUGGCUUGCUUGAAACUUGAAGCCACGAGAUAACUUUGUAUCAUGGAUCAGAGUGCCAAGUGGGCCAAUUUUGGUAAGCAGAACUGGCGCUGUGGGA
rnacentral:rRNA from 1 species